UGGCCACUUUUUCCCGGCAAACCUGCAGCAUAACAAAGCAUGCACUUUAUGACAAAACUAAAAAUGAAAUUGAUAGUAUCUCCUAGAUCUUUGAAGAAAUUCUAUGACCAGAAUGGACACAAACAAGGUAUAUUGGCAAAUAUGGAGACAUGUGUUAAAGAAAUAAAUUAAAUAUUCCAAGAAAGAAAACCUUGUAUUACGAAAAGAACAAAAAUCGAUCCACAUUAAUGCAGCAUGUAUACUGGCAAACAUUCCAUGUUUACAAUUUUACACACUAUGCAUUUAGAAAUCUGACUUCCAACAAUAAUCUGUGAACAUCUAUGGACUAAGAAGAAAGAAAUAUCAUUUUGGCAUACAUUUCCAAUUUCCAAUGAUCAUUCAUGAAAAUACAUAGGUAAUUUUACAUGGACUUAACUUAGCAUUGCAACUAUGCAGUGAUCUCACUUUGUUCCAUCAUCUAUUACAAUGCGUUAAGAGUGAAUCAAUGCAAUAAUCAAAUCCCAUCCUGACAAGGUAAUAACUAAUUGCAAGGAUGAUGCGAGGUUAGAGAGGGGGAAAACAUAGUAAACCUUAGAAAACAACCCCCUGACUUUUGAUUUGAGUAAAAAAAUAAAAUAAAAUAAACCCUCAGGAUUUGGGAAGCUAAAAGAAAGAGAGCACACAAAGUUCUUAAAUGAUCAAGUCCUUUCAGCAGUUUUCUAGAUAGGAAAGAACUGAAAGGACUGAUUAAUGUAGUUCUAAACAGGAUCAAACUACAAUUUUGUAGUACAAUACGCAAAUUUUUAUUCUUUUUCUUCUUACAGUUACUGAAAAUGGCCUACCAUCGUAUCACACAAUUUAAGAAAAUACUCUCCUUAAUGCCACAUAAAUUUAUUUAUAGGCAAAACAAACAUGAAUAAACUUCA
rnacentral:misc_RNA from 1 species